GGUGCAGGCGGUCUUUCAAGUCGGAUGUUAAAUCUUUCGGCUUAACUGGAAGGGACCAUUCGAAACUGAGAGACUAGAGGACAGCAGAGGGAAGCGGAAUUCCCGGUGUAGUGGUGAAAUGCGUAGAUAUCGGGAGGAACACCAGUGGCGAAGGCGGCUUUCUGGGCUGUUUCUGACGCUGAGACCCAAAAGCGUGGGGAGCGAACAGGAUUAGAUACCCUGGUAGUCCACGCCCUAAACUAUGGACACUAGGUAUGGGGAGUAUCGACCCUCUCUGUGCCGAAGCUAACGCUUUAAGUGUCCCGCCUGGGGAGUACGGUCGCAAGACUAAA
rnacentral:rRNA from 1 species